rnacentral:rRNA from 1 species
CGGCAUGCCUUACACAUGCAAGUCGAACGGCAGCACGGGGGCAACCCUGGUGGCGAGUGGCGAACGGGUGAGUAAUAUAUCGGAACAUGCCCUGAAGUGGGGGAUAACGUAGCGAAAGUUACGCUAAUACCGCAUAUUCUGUGAGCAGGAAAGCAGGGGAUCGCAAGACCUUGCGCUUUAGGAGUGGCCGAUAUCGGAUUAGCUAGUUGGUGAGGUAAAGGCUCACCAAGGCGACGAUCCGUAGCGGGUCUGAGAGGAUGAUCCGCCACACUGGGACUGAGACACGGCCCAGACUCCUACGGGAGGCAGCAGUGGGGAAUUUUGGACAAUGGGCGCAAGCCUGAUCCAGCCAUGCCGCGUGAGUGAAGAAGGCCUUCGGGUUGUAAAGCUCUUUCGGUUGGGAAGAAAUUGCUUAGGUUAAUACCUUAAGUAGAUGACGGUACCAGCAUAAGAAGCACCGGCUAACUACGUGCCAGCAGCCGCGGUAAUACGUAGGGUGCGAGCGUGAAUCGGAAUNACUGGGCGUAAAGCGUGCGCAGGCGGUUGUGUAAGUCAGAUGUGAAAUCCCCAGGCUCAACCUGGGAACUGCAUGUGAGACUGCACGGCUAGAGUGUG